GAGCGUUCUAAGGGCGUUGAAGCAUGAUCGUAAGGACAUGUGGAGCGCUUAGAAGUGAGAAUGCCGGUGUGAGUAGCGAAAGACGGGUGAGAAUCCCGUCCACCGAUUGACUAAGGUUUCCAGAGGAAGGCUCGUCCGCUCUGGGUUAGUCGGGUCCUAAGCUGAGGCCGACAGGCGUAGGCGAUGGAUAACAGGUUGAUAUUCCUGUACCACCUAUAAUCGUUUUAAUCGAUGGGGGGACGCAGUAGGAUAGGCGAAGCGUGCGAUUGGAUUGCACGUCUAAGCAGUAAGGCUGAGUAUUAGGCAAAUCCGGUACUCGUUAAGGCUGAGCUGUGAUGGGGAGAAGACAUUG
rnacentral:rRNA from 1 species